UACAGAGGUCUCAAGCGUUGUUCGGAUUCAUUGGGCGUAAAGGGCGCGUAGGCGGCGGGGUAAGUCGGGUGUGAAAUCUCAGGGCUCAACCCUGAAACUGCACUCGAUACUGCUCUGCUUGAGGACUGGAGAGGAGACUGGAAUUCACGGUGUAGCAGUGAAAUUCGUAGAUAUUCGCAAGAACACCAGUGGCGAAGGCGGCUCACUGGCCCGGUACUGACGCUGAGGCACGAAAGCGUGGGGGAGCAAACAGGG
rnacentral:rRNA from 1 species